GUCUACGUCACGGGUCACGUGUCCCUCAGGUGUCACGUGCCUGCCGAAGUCAGGUGAUUCGCUGGGGCAGGAUGGCGGCGGCUCGGAGCUCCUGCAGUCUGGAGACUUUACUGAAUGAGGUGACUGAUCCGGAGAACGUUUCUGAGAGAUGGGACAGCAUUCAGGAGUUUUAUCAGCUGGUGAACUCGGAGCCGGAUGGUCCUCAGGUCGCUCUGCGUUUGUUGGCUCAUAAGAUCCAGUCUCCUCAGGAAAGAGAAGCUCUCCAGACUCUGACUCUGCUGGAGGCCUGCAUGAAUAACUGUGGGAAACGGUUCCGUGCUGAAGCUACAAAGUUCCGCUUCCUCAAUGAACUCAUUAAAGUUCUUUCACCAAAGUUUUUGGGUUCCUGGAGUUCUGCUCAGGUGAAGGAGAAGAUAACUGAGGUUCUGUACAGCUGGACUCAGUGGCUGAAGGACGAGCCGAAGGUGCAGGAGGCAUAUCGUAUGCUGAAGAAACAAGGUCUGGUGAAGAGUGACCCGAAGCUGCCAGACAGCGUGUUGAUGCCUCCUCCAUCUCCGAGACAGGAAGUGUCAGUGUUUGAUGAUGAAGACAAAGCGAAGCUGCUGUCCAGGCUCCUGAAGAGUGGACGGCCUGAAGACCUGGAGACAGCUAACAGACUCAUCAAGAGCACCGUCAGGGAGGAGCAGGAGAAGAUGGAGAAAGAGGGCAGGCGUAUCAGCACUUUAGAGGAAGUGGAGAAAUGCACGUCAGAGCUACGACUGUUACUGAACCAACACACACACCACACCGCGGAGAUGAAGGACCUGUACGAGCGCUGUGAUCGUCUGAGGCCAAACCUGUUCAGACUGGCCAGCGACACCCUGGAGGACGAUGAGACUUUAGCUGGAAUUCUGAAGUGGAAUGAUGAGCUGAGCCAUGUGAUGAACCAGUACAGAGAGAGAACGCAGCAAGAAGAAAGAGAGAUGGGGGCGGAGCCUAUGCACAACAACGACAACAGCCAGGAGCCUGUCAGUCCUAUCAGGACAUACCACCUCAUUAACUUCUCUGUGCCGGGGGACAGCGCCCCCUGUGGCCACACUGAGGAUGGCGGCUCUCUGAUCCUGUUGGACGAGGACAGCGAUCCUGCCUACGAUUCCUGCAGUCCGAGAACAGAGGGAACGAAAUCGUACCUGGAUGAGCUCAUACAGCUGGAUCACGCAGUGAGAGUUUCAGGCAGUAUGGAGACGACCUGUGGGAACAGAGACUACAGUACCCACAAUGCACCAGUAUUAUCUGCCAUGGAGGAGCACAUGACUAGAUCAGAAUUCAUUCAGCCAAUCAUUACUCCAGGUUUCCCCAAGCCCCUCCCACCCACCUCACUUCAGGACAUCCAUGUGCCUCUUGGAUCCAUUAAGCCCAGUCACUUAAAGCCGAUAACAGUUUUUGACCGUCACAGUGUUCGUGUGUCUCUACACUUCACCAAAGAAACUCCGCCAUCUCGGCCUGACGUCGCCGCCUUCGUCAUCUCUGCUGUCAACACCUCUGCACUUCCUGUUUCUGACUUCCUGUUCCUGGCUGCUGUUCCCAAGUCAUUCUCAGCUCUCAUGUCUCUCUCUCUCUUCGUGUCCAUGCGCUUCGUCCUCCUGCUUUCCAGACCAUGCAGCUGAAGCUGCAGCCGGCCACAGGAACUGCUCUGCCUCCGUACAGCCCUCUGCUGCCCCCUGCUGCCAUCUCCCAGAUACUGCUGCUCUCCAACCCCCUCAGGAAGCCGGUCCGAGUGCGUUUCAGGCUGACUCUGACGCUCGGAGGGGAGACGCUCAAGCAGGACGGAGAAAUCGACCAGUUCCCGGAGUGGGACAGCUGGACUGACUUUUGACCUUCGCCCUUUGAGCUGCACAAUGAAUGCCCUCUCACUCGUGCCUUAAUCAGUGUUCCUUCCUGAAUGUCUCCCUGCUGAGUUUUAUACGUUUUAUAUUGUAUUUAUGUCUUCAUGUCUGAUUUAUAAACUCCGAGCUGGACAGUUUAAACUGCUGAAAUGUGUUAAAGUGCCAAAUAAACUCUCUGAGCUGA